rnacentral:rRNA from 1 species
CGAGCACGCGCGUGUGGCAUAUCAAUAAGCGGAGGAAAAGAAACUAACAAGGAUUCCCUUAGUAACGGCGAGUGAAGCGGGAAGAGCUCAAAUUUGAAAUCUUCAAGGUUCUACCUUGACGAAUUGUAGUUUAUAGAAGUGUUUUCUGUUAGUGGAGUGGCAAAAGUUCUUUGGAAUAGGACAUCAUAGAGGGUGAGAAUCCCGUAUUUGGUCAUUCCUCCUAGCGUUGUGAUACACUUUCAACGAGUCGGAUUGUUUGGGAAUGCAGUCCAAAAUGGGUGGUAAAUUUCAUCUAAAGCUAAAUAUUGGCGAGAGACCGAUAGCGAACAAGUACCGUGAGGGAAAGAUGAAAAGAACUUUGAAAAGAGAGUUAAACAGUACGUGAAAUUGUCAAAAGGGAAGCGUUUGACACCAGUGUUGUUUUUCCGAAAAUCAAUUACGAAUGUUUUGUUUUUGAGGAGUUAUGACUUCAUCGGCUUGCUCCUUUCUUUAUGAAACUUUCUUAAUGCACUUUUCGGUUAACAAGUCAACAUCAAUUUCUUUUGUUGUAAAAGGGUAUGAGGAAGGUGGCUUUCUUUUCGGAGAAAGUGUUUAUAGCCUUGUGCCUCUACAAUCGGAGAGAUUGAGGUCUGCAGCGUAGAUCCUUCGGGGUUAGAUACGCUUGUGCUAAGUUAUAGCUUUUCAUAGACAACUUGUUGACUAUGUUUAGUCUUGUAGCUUACUCGCUGACGCUAUUUUACCUACGCUUAGGAUGUUGAGUAGCGACAUACGCAC